UUUCAAUCUUUGAAAGCUUUCAAAAAUGGAAGAAUGUCGUUUCGUGUUUGAUUAUGAUGAUGAUGUAGCCAGGAGGAAAGCUCUAGAUUAUAUAAAUAAUUCUAAAGGAGUUAAAUCCGUAACAUUAAAAGACAGCCUCCUUAUCGUGAGGGGAGACGGACUAGAUCAAGAUAAAAUGGAGAAGAAGUUGGAUAAGAUUUUUUCACCAAAAAAGGGAUGCGUAUGGUGUAUGGCGUUUUAGUCCCAAUGGAUGAUAUGUUGUUUAUUUAUAUUUUCAUGUUCUAUAAGAGUGUUUGGAUUUAUGCUU